CCUACGGGAGGCAGCAGUGGGGAAUAUUGCACAAUGGGGGGAACCCUGAUGCAGCGACGCCGCGUGAGUGAAGAAGUAUUUCGGUAUGUAAAGCUCUAUCAGCAGGGAAGAAAAUGACGGUACCUGACUAAGAAGCCCCGGCUAACUACGUGCCAGCAGCCGCGGUAAUACGUAGGGGGCAAGCGUUAUCCGGAUUUACUGGGUGUAAAGGGAGCGCAGACGGCUGUGCAAGUCUGGAGUGAAAGGCGGGGGCCCAACCCCCGGACUGCUCUGGAAACUGUAAAGCUGGAGUGCAGGAGAGGUAAGCGGAAUGCCUAGUGUAGCGGUGAAAUGCGUAGAUAUUAGGAGGAACACCGGUGGCGAAGGCGGCCUGCUGGACUGUGACUGACGUUGAGGCCCGAAGGCGUGGGGAGCAAACAGGAUUAGAUACCCUUGUAGUC
rnacentral:rRNA from 1 species